rnacentral:tRNA from 1 species
GUCCAGGUUUGGGAAUCGAACCCACAAUGUUCCGCUUACCGGGCAGAUGCCAUGUCCACUAGGCUACCCUGGA